rnacentral:rRNA from 1 species
GACGAACGCUGGCGGCGUGCUUAACACAUGCAAGUCGAACGGUAAGGCCCUUCGGGGUACACGAGUGGCGAACGGGUGAGUAACACGUGGGUGAUCUGCCCUGCACUUCGGGAUAAGCCUGGGAAACUGGGUCUAAUACCGGAUAGGACCACUGCCUGCAUGGGUGGUGGUGGAAAGCUUUUGCGGUGUGGGAUGGGCCCGCGGCCUAUCAGCUUGUUGGUGGGGUGAUGGCCUACCAAGGCGACGACGGGUAGCCGGCCUGAGAGGGUGACCGGCGAGACUGGGACGGGGAUACGGCCCAGACUCCUACGGGAGGCAGCAGUGGGGAAUAUUGCACAAUGGGCGCAAGCCUGAUGCAGCGACGCCGCGUGAGGGAUGACGGCCUUCGGGUUGUAAACCUCUUUCAGCACCGACGAAGCGCAAGUGACGGUAGGUGCAGAAGAAGGACCGGCCAACUACGUGCCAGCAGCCGCCGUAACAC